rnacentral:tRNA from 1 species
GCCCCCAUAGCACAAAUGGAUAGUGCAAGAGACUUCUAAUCUCUAGGUUUCUGGUUCGAAUCCAGAUGGGGGUA